rnacentral:rRNA from 1 species
UAAUACUCGAUAUGUCAUAGAAUAUGAUGUUCUAUGAUGAAAGCUUUUGCGGUUUGGGAUCAGCCCGCGGUCUAUCAGGUUGUUGGUGGGGUAAAUGCCUACCAAGCCUAUGACGGGUAGCUGGUCUUAGCGGACGAUCAGCCAGACUGGGACUGCGACACGGCCCAGACUCCUACGGGAGGCAGCAACUAGGAAUCAUGCGCAAUGGACGAAAGUCUGACGCUGCGACGUCGCGUGGAGGAUGAAGGUCUUCGGAUUGUAAACUCCUUUUAUAUGGGAACAAGUUCUGAGUGUACCAUAUGAAUAAGUGCCUGCUAACCACGUGCCAGAAGCAUCGGUAAUACGUGGGGCACGAGCGUUAUCCGGAUUUACUGGGCGUAAAGAGAUGCGUAGGCGUCCCGAAAAGUUUUGUGUUAAAUCUUCCUGCCUAACGGGAAAGCUGCAUAAAAAACUCUCGGGAUUGAGUUAGGUAGAGAAGGGGGGAAUUCCUGGUGGAGCGGUUAAAUGCGUUGAUAUCAGGAGGAACACCGAUGGCGAAGGCACCCCUUUGGACCUAUACUGACGCUAAGGCUCGAAAGCGUGGGUAGCAAAACGGAUUAGAUACCCGUGUAGUCCACGCCGUAAACGAUCCCUGUUAGGUGU